rnacentral:rRNA from 1 species
AAGAGUUUAUUUUUAUUGUCGGAGUAGUAAUAGUUAAGAUCUUGAAACUCAAAAAAUUUGGCGGUAUUUUAGUCUAUUUAGAGGAACCUGUAAUGUAAUCGAUAAUCCACGUUGGACCUAACUUAAUUUUGUAAAAUUCAAUUUGUAUACCGCCGUUUUUGAAAAUUUUAUUAGAAAAAUAAUUUUCAAAAUUUUUUAUGUGAAAGUAAGUCAGGUCAAGGUGCAGUUAAUAAUUAAGUUUUGUAUGGGUUACAAUAAGUAUAUUUAAGCGGAUUGUAAAAUGAAAUUUUUAUAUGAAGAUGGAUUUAAAAGUAAAUUUUUAUAGAUGAAAAUGUUGAUU